rnacentral:rRNA from 1 species
CCUACGGGUGGCAGCAGUCGAGAAUUUUUCUCAAUGGGGGAAACCCUGAAGGAGCGACGCCGCGUGGAGGAUGAAGGUCUUCGGAUUGUAAACUCCUGUCAUUGGGGAACAAUGCGUAAAUAUUAACUGUAUUUACGUUGAUAGUACCCGAAGAGGAAGAGACGGCUAACUCUGUGCCAGCAGCCGCGGUAAUACAGAGGUCUCAAGCGUUGUUCGGAUUCAUUGGGCGUAAAGGGUGCGUAGGCGGCGCGGUAAGUCGGGUGUGAAAUCUUGGAGCUUAACUCCGAAACUGCAUUCGAUACUGCCGUGCUUGAGGACUGGAAAGGAGACUGGAAUUUACGGUGUAGCGGUGAAAUGCGUAGAUAUCGUAAGGAAGACCAGUGGCGAAGGCGGGUCUCUGGACAGUUCCUGACGCUGAGGCACGAAGGUCAGGGGAGCAA